ensembl:lncRNA
CUGCAAACGCUCAAAGGAUCUUCUAAUGAUGUCCUCAGAAUGCUGCUGGAAAAGCCUAGGGCCAGUAGUGCCAGUCUCCUGUUGUGUCAGGCUGCGGUGAACACUUUUCAGGCUGUCAUGACAAACCUGAUGUAAACAUUCAUGUGUAGCCUGAGCGACUGUGUGAACUCUGUGGUGGUGAUGCUGGGAGCCAGGCCCAAAGGAGCAGCUGGACGCCAUAUUCAGACGUCUGGAGGAGCAGGUCCUGAGGUUUGUCCAACAGCAGCUCCAGAGGCUCCACAGGCUCCUGGCCUCAGAUUACCCAGAAUGUUCCGAGAGUGAGGAGGAGGAGAGCAGAGAGGUUCUGAACAUCACCCUGGACUUCCUGAAGAGGAUGGACCAGGAGCGUCUGGCCCAGUGUCUGUUCAACAGGAGUAAAGUUGGAUUCAGUGAUAAAAUAAAGUCUGAUUUGAAGCAGAGGUUCAGCCGUGUGUUUGAGGGUGUGGCUAAAGCAGGAGACUCCGCCUCCCUCACCCAGAUUUACACAG